AUUCGUUGUAGUGUUGAUACAAGGGUUAUGGUGUGAAGAGAGCACUUUUUAUCCACGAUAUUAAGAACAUGAACUGGUAUUGAUUUCAAUUCUCAUCCUUAGAGGCAUGACGGACACGUUCAGUACAGCCAUGGGGUACAGGAGCUGUGAUAAGAUGAUGGACAGGGCCGUAUACGGUCACGUGGCCACAGGAAUUUAUACAUUAGCCUGGGUGCAAUCUUUUGCCGGCGCCAUGCUCAUCUGUUUUGCGACGGACCGAAAACCGAGAAGAUAACCUAGCCUAUGUAUACUUUUGAAGCUUGUUCACAGAGUGGAACCGAUCUCAUUUUACACUUGAUCACACCAGUAUUUUAAUCCAUCACGCUAUAUGUAUGUAUCGUUGUAUUGUUUGUGACGUUCUAGAAGGAGUUCUUCUAGAAGCCACUGACAAGAAAAUAUGAUGUGCAAGGAUGCAGAAAACAUGCCGUGCAAGGAUGCAGAAAACAUACCGUGCAAGAAUGCAGGAGAGCUAAGGGGUUUCCCCGAUAGGGGGCGCCGACAAGGUCUGGGAUGGUGUGCCAAGCCGCCGAGAGUACUGGGACU